rnacentral:rRNA from 1 species
UCUAAUACCGGAUACUGACCCGCUUGGGCAUCCAAGCGGUUCGAAAGCUCCGGCGGUGCAGGAUGAGCCCGCGGCCUAUCAGCUUGUUGGUGAGGUAAUGGCUCACCAAGGCGACGACGGGUAGCCGGCCUGAGAGGGCGACCGGCCACACUGGGACUGAGACACGGCCCAGACUCCUACGGGAGGCAGCAGUGGGGAAUAUUGCACAAUGGGCGAAAGCCUGAUGCAGCGACGCCGCGUGAGGGAUGACGGCCUUCGGGUUGUAAACCUCUUUCAGCAGGGAAGAAGCGAAAGUGACGGUACCUGCAGAAGAAGCGCCGGCUAACUACGUGCCAGCAGCCGCGGUAAUACGUAGGGCGCGAGCGUUGUCCGGAAUUAUUGGGCGUAAAGAGCUCGUAGGCGGCUUGUCACGUCGGUUGUGAAAGCCCGGGGCUUAACCCCGGGUCUGCAGUCGAUACGGGCAGGCUAGAGUUCGGUAGGGGAGAUCGGAAUUCCUGGUGUAGCGGUGAAAUGCGCAGAUAUCAGGAGGAACACCGGUGGCGAAGGCGGAUCUCUGGGCCGAUACUGACGCU